rnacentral:tRNA from 1 species
GGCUCCAUAGCUCAGUGGUUAGAGCACUGGUCUCGUAAACCAGGGGUCGAGAGUUCAAUUCCCUCUGGGGCCU